CUUCGUCUUCUCCAACCUAACUGCGCCUCUCUUUUAUUUUAUUUUUCGAUCCGCAAAUGCGCCUCUCUUUUCUUCUUCCUCUUCUUCUAUUCUCCUCUAUAAUGAGCAAAGAUUUUGGAAGAUUUCUCUCUUAUUUCGUUGAUUUUUUUUUCAAUCGUAUUAUUCAGUCGUAUAAAAGUUGAAGAGUGAGUUUUCUUUCUCUUCAGAGUUUAUAGGACGAAUAAUACCAACCCUAACCAUGAAUCACUCAAAAUACACGCACAAUUUUACCUAUUUCAUUACAUUAUAAACCCUUAGUUGUUCAUACUUAGCCGUAUCACUAACCUAAUUUUCGUUUUACCUUAUCAAACCCUACUUCCAGUUUAUUUGAUCUCUAUAGAUGUAGAAGAUGUUUACUAGUAAUUGAUGGUUUCCUGACUCUUACGAGGUAAAACCCCCUCUUUUUUCAUUCAAUAACUCUUAUAAGUACUAGAUCUGCAAUUAGCUUCUUGCUUAGGUUUCAAUUUUUUUAUUUUGUUUCGUUCAUUCACUGACAAUUGUGGUUCUAAUUAUGUGCUUAUUCGAAUUCUUCUGGUAAGGGAUGAGGACACGAGUGGUAUUCUUAUUCAGUUCUGGUAAUUAAAGGUUAUGUUUUAAUUUGGGUUUUGGGUUCUUCAGAAUUCUGAUUGAAUAUAAUCUUUUUACUGAUCUCAAUCCAACAAUAUAAGUUAUAUUGCAAGAUUCGGUAAUUUUUAUCUCAAAUGUACUGAUCUCUUCUGUUUUAUAUUAGGAAAUUGUUGAGGAUUUGGUGUUGGUGUGUAGGUGUUGAGGGAGGACGAUCAUGUUAUAGAAGUGUUUUUUUUGGUGUCUAUGGAGGAUUAGGAGGUGUUGGUGUUGCAGGCGGUGGUGGACUAGCAGAGGUUGCUGGUUGAGGUAGACGCAUAGGUGGCUGAAGGGAUGGUGGCGGGCAUGAAAAGACAUUGCAGAUGCUUGUCCACUAAAGCAUGUUUUAAGAGAGGAUAUGCUGAAGAUAUGAGAUGGUGUUUACAAACCCAACGCGCACAUGGACACUAAGAAUGAGGAGGAAGUCGGAGAUGAUGAGCUUUAGUUGCCUUCUGCUGAUAUGAUCAGGAUCCUUCCUUCAGCACAGAAGUGUUUGGGCACCGACGCUGUUACCAUGGUUUACAUACGUGGAAUGGGUGCGGUGUUUCUAAAACUCAAAUCCUUGGGGAUGUGUUUUUGAAGGCCAAUUUGCAGGAAGUGAAGGACAAUAUGCCGAAAUAGAAGCAAAAAAAUGAAGCUUUGGAAGCACAGAUGCUGAAAGACAGAAAUCCAACACUGGAGUUCAUGAUCAGAUCCCUAAUAGCUCUUAUCAGCAGGAUAUAUUGGAGAUCCAGCAACACCUUUGACGUUUGAUCUCUGCUUUUUGAGGAACUUUAUGAAAAGACCGGUAGCAUCUUCAUAUGUUGAUAGUGCAGAGCUGUUGAUUGAUGACAAUUAUGACUGCAUGAUUGAUGAAAUCAUUGAUCCAAGGGUGGCGUUAUGUGAUAGAGCUGAUGCAGUACUUGGGGAUGUGUCAAGAGGUGACACCAUUAAGUGGCCACAAGCUUAUGUAAUUACUGUAGGAGAGCGACCAAAUUAGAAUGACAAGGUGAAAGUAGAUUGAAUUCAAUUUUAAUGUUAAACUUAAACAUGUAGUGUCUAUCUUUUGUUUUGUAUUUGAAGAUUUUAUUUUCUUGGCUAUUAUUUUUGGAUAAUUAAUUAAUAAAAGUUGAUUUCAGAUGCAGUUGAAA